AGCAGCCGCGGUAAUUCCAGCUCCAAUAGCGUAUAUUAAAGUUGUUGCAGUUAAAAGGCUCGUAGUUGAAUUUCGGGAUCAAUAUGUUGGUCGUGCCUCGGUACGUACUAGCAUAUUGGUUUCUCCUUUCUGAAGAACCAUGAUGUCAUUUAUUUGGUGUCGUGGGGAAUCAGGACUGUUACUUUGAAAAAUUAGAGUGUUUAAAGCAGGCUCACGCUUGAAUACAUUAGCAUGGAAUAAUGAAAUAGGACGUUUGAUUCUAUUUUGUUGGUUUCUAGGAUCGACGUAAUGAUUAAUAGGGAUAGUUGGGGGCAUUAGUAUUCAAUUGUCAGAGGUGAAAUUCUUGGAUUUAUUGAAGACUAACUACUGCGAAAGCAUUUGCCAAGGAUGUUUUCAUUAAUCAAGAACGAAAGUUAGGGGAUCGAAGACGAUCAGAUACCGUCGUAGUCUUAACCAUAAACUAUGCCGACUAGGGAUCGGAUGAUGUUAAUUUUUUAAUUGACUCAUUUGGCGUCCG
rnacentral:misc_RNA from 1 species